UACGUAGGGUCCGAGCGUUGUCCGGAAUUAUUGGGCGUAAAGGGCUCGUAGGCGGUCUGUCGCGUCGGGAGUGAAAACUCAGGGCUCAACCCUGAGCGUGCUUCCGAUACGGGCAGACUAGAGGUAUGCAGGGGAGAACGGAAUUCCUGGUGUAGCGGUGGAAUGCGCAGAUAUCAGGAGGAACACCGGUGGCGAAGGCGGUUCUCUGGGCAUGUCCUGACGCUGAGGAGCGAAAGUGUGGGGAGCGAACAGG
rnacentral:rRNA from 1 species